rnacentral:rRNA from 1 species
GACGAACCGUGCGAACGUUGUUCGGAUUCACUGGGCUUAAAGGGCGCGUAGGCGGGCCAUCAAGUCUGGGGUGAAAUACUUCGGCUUAACCGGAGAACAGCCUUGGAUACUGGUGGUCUCGAGGGAGAUAGGGGUGUGCGGAACUUCCGGUGGAGCGGUGAAAUGCGUAGAUAUCGGAAGGAACGCCGGUGGCGAAAGCGGCGCACUGGAUCUCUUCUGACGCUGAGGCGCGAAAGCUAGGGUAGCGAACGGG